AAACCGCGAUUUCCUGUCAUCUCUGAUUGGCGGUUGGGGUUGGAUUCAAAACAGUGGCUCCGCCCAUCUGACGUCACGUAGAUCACACAACACGGAAACUACGGAUGACCGUCGUCUGCUGUUUAUCCUGUUCACUUCAAUAAGGUCCCACAUGUAACCGUCCGGCCUGAAAGGUUUGGCACUUUCUCUGUGAUGAUCAUGGACAGUUAGUCAGUCCUGUCAGUACUCCAAUGGAAGCUUCAGUCACAGCUGCUCCUCCACCCAUCUCCUCCAGCCCACUGCCCCUGCGACCGGCCAUUGCCCUGUCGGUCCAGCUCGGCUUCACUAUCCUCUACACCUCCCUAUACGCCGGACUGUUCCUGGUGGUGUACACACAACUCUGGCUUCUCUACCUCUACAGACACAAAAGAUGGAGCUACCAGAGUGUCUUUCUGUUUCUCUGCCUGCUCUGGGCUGCCCUCCGCACCACCCUCUUCUCCUUUUACUUCUGUAAUGCUCUGGAGGCCAACCACCUGCCUGUUGCAGUGUACUGGCUGCUCUACUGCUUCCCUGUCUGUCUGCAGUUCUUCACUCUCAGCCUUAUUAACCUGUAUUUCACUCGGGUGUUACUCAAAGUGAGAAACAUUUACAGCUCAGAAGUGGACAGAGGAGUGUGGCUGGCACGGUGCAUGUACGGUGCACUGAGCGCCAUCUUCCUCUGUGUCAACGUGGUUUGCGCAGCUCUCAGGGACAGCGUUGCCGGCGGCGAGUGGACCUGGAAUCUGGUCCUGGUUCGAGUUCUGGUCAACGACUUGCUCUUCAUCCUGGACGCGGUGUUACUGGCCGCUUUGCUGUUGCUCCUGACCAGACACUCACGCUCCACCAGCCCGUACCUGAUCAGCAAGGGCACCACGGUGUGUCGUACAGCAGCACUGGGAGUUGCAGUGAUCUUGUUGUUUGCCAGUCGAGCCUGCUACAACCUGACGGUGCUCAUUCUGUCUCAGAACCACCGGGUGGAGUCGUUCAACUUCGACUGGUACAACGUCUCCGAUCAGGCUGACCUGCGCAGUGAGCUGGGCGACAGGGGCUACCUGGCCUUUGGCGCCAUCCUCUUCAUAUGGGAGCUGCUCCCAACCAGCCUGCUCAUCCUCAUCUUCAGAGUGCGCCAGCCUGCUCAAGAGGUUUUCACAGAGCAGCAGCAUGGCCGUUAACAACAGGGUCCUACCUCGUCCAUAUUUCUUUGAUGACCCUCAAGGCAGCGAUGAGGACUCACCUGUUCCAUGGGCACGCACUUCACAUCCACACUCAAGCUGGUACGGAUCAGAGACCGCUCCUCUCCUGUUUGCCAGCAAACCUCUAGACCACAGCCACCAGCACCACUCCUUCUACUCCACCCCCCAGAACUGACCCUGACUCCACUAUCAGGGUCAGCGUGUCCUCAAGGGCAGACCGCACACAACUACCAGCCGGCACUACUUGCCUCUGAACUGUUUUUGCACUGAAAUCCUCAGGAACUCAUCAAACAAACAUUGAAUAUGCACCUUGUAGAUUUGAAUAUGCACCUUGUAGAUUUGAACAGAGACUAUAGUGAAAACAUUUUCUUGGCUCAAAGGGAACAAACUAGCGGGAGAAGCUCUGGCAGACAAACAUUGUGCUCGUUAAUCUCCUUAAAAAGCGCUAAAGGAGAUUAAGUCACAAUGUGUUAGCUUCUUUUUAUAAAUCCCUCUCCUAUUGUUGAAGAAACCAGGUAAACCAGGUAAAAAUUGCACAUUUAGCUUCGAUAGCAUUCCUUAUAAUUAAUGUUCAUAAGCUUGGCAACAACCACAGACAUUACUAAUUUGCAGUUUUUUGAAGAAGGUAACUUUUCUCUUACACUGACAAGUGUAGGAAAUUGACUAAAAUACAAAUGAUCAUUUGUCAUUUGAUAAAUAAUUCCACAUCAGCAGGUUGUCUCUUGUACACAUCGCUCAACUGUUUCCUUCUUGUCUAUUUUAGUUUAGAUGUCACUUUUGCAAAGAGUUUCAUAAUUUUUCAUUUUAAAAAGUUGAUUCUGUAUUCCUCUUGUAUAAUUGUAUUUUAGUUUGAAAGUUUAACUUAUUUUAUAAAUACAGUUCAAUCAAAUGUUA